UACGGAGGGUGCUAGCGUUGUUCGGAAUCACUGGGCGUAAAGGGCGUGUAGGCGGAGAGAGAAGUCGGGUGUGAAAGCCCUGGGCUCAACCCAGGAAGUGCGCCCGAAACCAUCUCUCUUGAGGUCCGGAGGGGAUCGGGGAAUUUCCAGUGUAGAGGUGAAAUUCGUAGAUAUUGGAAAGAACACCGGUGGCGAAGGCGCCGAUCUGGACGGAUUCUGACGCUGAGACGCGAAAGCGUGGGGAGCAAACAGGAUUAGAAA
rnacentral:rRNA from 1 species